UACGUAGGGCGCAAGCGUUGUCCGGAAUUAUUGGGCGUAAAGAGCUCGUAGGCGGCCUGUUGCGUCCGCUGUGAAAUCCCGGGGCUUAACCCCGGGCUUGCAGUGGAUACGGGCAGGCUGGAGGCAGGCAGGGGAGAACGGAAUUCCUGGUGUAGCGGUGAAAUGCGCAGAUAUCAGGAGGAACACCGGUGGCGAAGGCGGGUCUCUGGGCCAUUACUGACGCUGAGGAGCGAAAGCGUGGGGAGCGAACAGG
rnacentral:rRNA from 1 species